AGCAAAAUUUGGAGCAUCCUCCAAGGGCUUUCCUAUAUGAAGCAGCAUGAUUCAAAGAAUGUGGAGAUAGAGUUUGACUGUAUCAUGGGUGAGAACAGGGUGGCUGAUAGGAAUCUUGGAUAAUUCUCUGCAUAAGAACAUGCUUGAAGAAUGCAGAGUACUCAGGUGAUGUCUCAAAAUUGCAAAAAUCAGCAUGGCUUGAGGGAAACUAAUCAGGUGGUAGACAAACUUGCUAAGAUGCAUGCAGCUCAAGAUCCCUAGAUGAAGUGAUGGAGUUCUUGGUGGAUGAUACAGCUAGCAUGGAAUUUGAGACUUUAGCAAACAAAAAAAUAUACUGUUAAAAAUUUCCCCCACAUUAUAUAUCUAAGAAUGUAAUUUCAUCUAGAAAAUACUGUAGAAACUCUACAUCGAAUCCAAAAGUUUAAGUUAUUAGAUAGAGAUGUCCCAAUAUUACGUUAAGUGAUCACCCAUUUACACCUAAGCAACGCAGGAUUGUAUUCUUUAACAACCCCCAUGUGCAGCCGCGUUUAAGGUCUGUCAUGUAUAGUCUUUUUUUGAGUUUAUAGUCGUGCAACAUUUAAAUUGGGGUCUCUCAUCGUAAGGUGUGGAUUCUUUCUAAUUGUUUUUUAAAAAGUGGGCCUGUCACGUGUAGCCUUUUUGAGUUUAUCAUCGUGCAACCUUUAAAUUGGGUCUCUCAUCGUAAAGUGUGGAUUCUUUCAAUUUUUUUUUAUUUUGAAAAGUGGCAUGAAUUGGGCCUUACUCUGAUACCAAGUAAAAAACUUUAAUUCCAACCCAAAAGCUUAAACUAUUAGGCGGAGAGGUCCCAACAUUAUAUUAAGUGAUCAUACCCAAGCAAUGUGUGAUAGUAUUUGUUAUUAGAGAGAGGGAAAAGUGUAUAGGGUGUUAAUUAACCCUAACACAAAGACUUUAUAUUUAUAUUAUGUCAUAUCUUGACACUAGAAUGCAUUACCCAAUGUGGGACAAUACUAAUGACUACUAAUAAUAUUCUAUCAGUAUUCUUUUACUAAAACUUACGCUCGAGCAAUUAUAUGCGUGGAUGCAUGACAUGAUAAUCACCAAACAAAUUCGUUUCUCAAUUCAACCAGAUUAAGCAAGUCCUAUGUAAUCACUGUCUUUUUAAAAACUUUUAAACUAUAGUCGAGCAACAAAGUGUUCAUCAAGCCUUGUUCAGUUUAUAUGUGAUAUCCAACUUCUUGUCCGAUUGAGUCACAUGGCUGAAGGAUUUAUGCUAGUAGUCCACCUAAAUUACACUCAGUGGGCUCACUGUAACAAACAAUACACAAAUCAGGAAUCUAACAGAGGGCCCCAACACACCAUCGAAAAGAAUUGGGGGAGGUCAUCACUGAUCAGUCAUAAAGGUUAUGAGUCACUGAUGAGUAAUCAUUCAAAAUGAGAACAUUAAUAUGAUCAUUUCAUAUGGGAAAAGGGUAAGGGAAAAGCGCCACAAAUAAAUGGAUAAGAAUAUCGCAGAAAAGCCAAACUGCUGAAAUCUUAUACAGCAACAAACGCAAAGAGUAACAUCAAGUGCAUCAAAGAUGAUGCUUACAUCGGAGGCUAUCAACUACAUAUACGCAAAACUGCAGCCUGCCCAAGUCUUUCAUUACAAAGGCAUUCCAAACUGUAGAGUUCAUACACAACUACCAAGGAAAAGAACAAGGAAAGGCAACAGCCUGCAGGUGAUUUAUGCAUGAACCUUACUAUUAUUAAGCUCUCAAUAUUUAGAACCCCUUGUUCUAGACUGAGAGUCCGAAACCAUAGCAUUGGUCAGAGUAUGUUCCUUAGAUCUCCUUUUUUUAUGUCCAUACAGUUAUUCAAAGGCCCUAGGCACCAAGAGCUGGUUCCAGCAUCUUUUAUAAUUUCAACUAUACUCAGAAAACCUAGGGACACAUAAUCAGAGAAGUCCAAGCAGACGAAGCUGACAGCUGUCUAU